UUGGGCUACGGGGACAUGUACCCCAUGACGUGGUCGGGGAUGCUGGUGGGGGCCCUGUGCGCCCUGGCGGGGGUCCUCACCAUCGCCAUGCCCGUCCCCGUCAUCGUCAACAAC
rfam:Colinus virginianus strain Texas jcf7180006212914, whole genome shotgun sequence.